rnacentral:misc_RNA from 1 species
CGUCUGCUUGAACAAUUGAAGGUAAGUUUUUCUUUUAUACUCUCAAAUAUUAGUUAUGUUGUAAAUAACAACAAAAAUUUAUUAUUCUCUUUGUGGGUAAAAUGGAUAUAGUGAAUAAUGGCCCUGUGAUGUUAGCUUUUUUUUUUGGUGAGAGAAAGAGUGCAAAAUAUAUCAUGGUUAUGUUAGUUACAACUGUAACUGGCAUAAACCAAAGUACAUUUGGAAAGCAAAGCAAACAUAGGCAAACAACCAAAUAAUAUGGAAAUGCAAACAACCAACCCUUGUGGGGCUUGAACCUAGGACCUAUUGGUUCUGAGUAGAGCUGGCCAUGGGCCGGUUCAGAACCAGAACCAGUCAAACCUGUAGUUGACUUGAACUGUGGUUGAGCCAGACUAGAAUUGAACUGGAACCCUCCAGUUCAGUUCCGGACUAAACUGGAUUUUUUCAUUUAAAAAAAAUGGACUUUUGGAUCUUAUUGGAACCAGAUCGAAUCAAAUUGAAUCGUAACUGAAACCGGAACCUUGGGGGGCUUUAAGGGCCUGUUCAGGUUCACAAUUUUCAGUGAAUUGUGAACUGUUGGUUCUUGGCCUGUUCGAACUGGAACCGGGCUGGUGGCUAGGUCUAGUUCUGAGCCUCAAUCUUAGCUAGCUUUACCACUAGACCAAGGUCUCAUUGGCUAGCUAAAUAGUUUUAGUUGCUUGCAAAUCAUAAGAGUAGCAUAUCAUUUCCGAGACCUGAAAAAUUUUAUAUGACACCCUGCUUGAUAUAUAUAUAUAUGUUGUCUUUUUGUUUGGAGAAAACAGGUGUCUCUAAUGUUUAUCCUUCAGUUGUUUUAUGGAACUCUUAGAUUUAUUUCUUCCAACUGUGUUC